GACGAACGCUGGCGGCGUGCUUAACACAUGCAAGUCGAACGGAAAGGCCUCUUUCGGGGGGUACUCGAGUGGCGAACGGGUGAGUAACACGUGAGUAACCUGCCCUUGACUUUGGGAUAACUUCAGAAAACUGGGGCGAAUACCGGAUAGAAGCUCCUGCUGCACGGUGGGGGUUGGAAAGUUUCGGCGGGUGGGGAUGGACUCGCGGCUUAUCAGCUUGUUGGUGGGGUAGUGGCUUAUCAAGGGUUUGACGGGUAUGCGGGCUGGGAGGGUGAACGGCCACCAUGGGACUGAGGAACGGGCCAGGCCCCUACGGGGGGGCGGCGGGGGGAAUAUUGCACAAUGGGUGGGAGCCCGAUGCAGCAACGCCGUGGGCGGGAUGACGGGCUUUGGGUUGGAAACCGCUUUCGGUCAUGAAGAAGCUGUGUGUGACGGUAGUGGGUAAAGAAGCACCGGCUAACUACGUG
rnacentral:rRNA from 1 species